UUUUCUUUUCCCUUAUUUUUCUUUUCUUUUUCUUUCUUUUCUUUUCUCCUUUUUCUUAUUCUUUUCUUUCCUUGCAUGUUGCUUUGGUUCAUGCAUGAAUGCAUGGCCAAUUGCUGCUUUCAUGUUUUGCAGCAACCUCACGCCACUCCCCAGCCAGCCGGCCACCUCCCGCCGGCGACCCACGUCGGCAACCAUCCCCACCGAGACUUUAAGUUGAGUAAUUUCUAGCAUUGUGGCUAGUUGGAAAGAUGAUUUAAUUAAGGUACGUAUAAGAAUACGAGAAAACUUGAUUUUAGGAGCAUGUU